UACGUAGGGGUCAAGCGUUGUCCGGAUUUAUUGGGCGUAAAGAGCUCGUAGGCGGCUCGGUAAGUCGGAUGUGAAACCUCCAGGCUCAACCUGGAGACGCCAUCUGAUACUGCCGUGGCUUGAGUCCGGUAGAGGAGCAGGGAAUUCCUGGUGUAGCGGUGAAAUGCGCAGAUAUCAGGAGGAACACCAGCGGCGAAGGCGCUGCUCUGGGCCGGUACUGACGCUGAGGAGCGAAAGCGUGGGGAGCGAACAGG
rnacentral:rRNA from 1 species